rnacentral:rRNA from 1 species
AACGAACGCUGGCGGCGUGGAUAAGACAUGCAAGUCGAACGGGAUCUUUUUCUGUAGCAAUACAGAAAAAAGUCUAGUGGCGAACGGGUGCGUAACACGUGAGCAACCUGCCGUGAAGUGGGGGAUAGCUCGCCGAAAGGCGAAUUAAUACCGCAUGUGGCCAAGGAAGACAUCUUCCUGACGCCAAAGCCGGGGCAACCUGGCGCUUCUCGAGGGGCUCGCGGCCUAUCAGCUUGUUGGUGAGGUAACGGCUCACCAAGGCUAUGACGGGUAGCUGGUCUGAGAGGACGACCAGCCACACUGGAACUGAGACACGGUCCAGACACCUACGGGUGGCAGCAGUCGAGAAUUUUUCACAAUGGGGGAAACCCUGAUGGAGCGACGCCGCGUGGAGGAUGAAGGUUUUCGGAUUGUAAACUCCUGUCAUUAGAGAACAAGGCACACGGUUUAACUGACCGUGUGUUGAUAGUAUCUGAAGAGGAAGAGACGGCUAACUCUGUGCCAGCAGCCGCGGUAA